GCUCGCUAUGGCAGCACAUACUAAAACUGGAUCGAUACAGAGUAGAUUAGCAUGGCCCCUGCGAGAGGAUGACAAUCCGUGUAGCGCUCCAUCUUUAC
rnacentral:snRNA from 12 species